GACGAACGCUGGCGGCGUGCUUAACACAUGCAAGUCGAACGGAAAGGCCCUGCUUUUGUGGGGUGCUCGAGUGGCGAACGGGUGAGUAACACGUGAGUAACCUGCCCUUGACUUUGGGAUAACUUCAGGAAACUGGGGCUAAUACCGGAUAGGAGCUCCUGCUGCAUGGUGGGGGUUGGAAAGUUUCGGCGGUUGGGGAUGGACUCGCGGCUUAUCAGCUUGUUGGUGGGGUAGUGGCUUACCAAGGCUUUGACGGGUAGCCGGCCUGAGAGGGUGACCGGCCACAUUGGGACUGAGAUGCGGCCCAGACUCCUACGGGAGGCAGCAGUGGGGAAUAUUGCACAAUGGGCGGAAGCCUGAUGCAGCAACGCCGCGUGCGGGAUGACGGCCUUCGGGUUGUAAACCGCUUUCGCCUGUGACGAAGCGUGAGUGACGGUAAUGGGUAAAGAAGCACCGGCUAACUACGUG
rnacentral:rRNA from 1 species